CACGGACCCGGCGACGGGCGCGGUCGGGCCUGUAGCGGCAAAGGACUGCCACGUCCAAACUCAUACGGAACACAGGGCACAAGGACGAUUGAAUCGUCGCCGUCUUUCUACGAAGAAGGAUAGGGAGGAGUGCGGGCUGCAAAUGGAGCUGCAGUGUUAGGGGCCCUCAGAUGUGCCGCUGUCACUGCCCAACAGUUGCUCAAUACCUCCCAUCAGGGGCUCAGGAGGAGGAUUGUGGUCGCCACUUUGACAACUCUUGUCGUCGUCUCUGGUUGGCUCAACUCAACAGCCAGCCGCGACCGCGGCUGUGAAUCGCCACCAUGGUUGGCCAUGGUGUUGCAGGGAGGCGACGACGAGGCUUGUGUCCAGGUUCUUGGGCCACUUGUACAUUGCAGUUGUUGUAGCGCAAAUAUCGUAUUCCUGUACAUAUUGACUAACUAACUCCCCGUUAUUAAAUAGGUUACGUAUAUGGUGGAGUGUUCAAGAUUUAUAAAAUUAGGGCAAGAAUUAUGGAGAUAUUCAAUCAGAAGAGACAACUAAAAGAUGUUUUUAACUGAUAUGUUAUCUUAUCAUAAACAUAUUCAGAGUAAAAAUAAUGGCUUGGCGACAAAGAUCCGCUGCUCUAGCCUCUAGGUGGUAUUGCGAGCAUGGCCACAUCGAAGUUCCUAAGCUCUAGUGCCUACAUUAGAAAUUAAAGACACCAUCGCUAUCCUCUCCUAGACUGACUGACUGACGGUUUACCCCUUAGAGCUGUGUCAAGGGGUGACCUCCAGGAGGCUAUUAAAAGUGCUUUCACUUGAUGAAAACGGGAACCAAGUACAGAAACAAGGAACAAAAUGUACCAGGAAUUGCUUUAUGAUCUCCAAACAACAUAUAUGACUUGCUUUGUGUGUGGGCACGAAAAGUUUAUGCUCUUUCAUGGAAUGUGCGCUGCUGUCCAAAGUGUGCGCUUUUGUACAGAUGCAAGCUCAAGGUUGAUAUAUAAUCAGCACAUGAUGGACGAUCUCAGCACAUGAUGGCCCUCUGAUUGAGCUCCCAGCAGAUCCCAGCCAUCUUUUUCACCGCGUGGAUCCGAGGUGAGCCAUUGUAUCUGUAAAACCAGUUGAU